UACAGAGGGUGCGAGCGUUGUUCGGAAUUACUGGGCGUAAAGCGUGCGCAGGCGGUUCGUUGUGUCGGCGGUGAAAGCCCCGGGCUUAACCUGGGAAUGGCCGUUGAAACUGGCGAACUGGAGUGUGGCAGAGGGGGGUGGAAUUCCGUGUGUAGCAGUGAAAUGCGUAGAGAUGCGGAGGAACACCGAUGGCGAAGGCAGCCCCCUGGGCUAACACUGACGCUCAGGCACGAAAGCGUGGGGAGCAAACAGG
rnacentral:rRNA from 1 species